rnacentral:rRNA from 1 species
AGAAGGUUGUACCCGGUUUUUGCCCCGUUCGCGGUGUGCAUGCUGGUUGUGACCUCUUUGAAACAAAAACGACUCUCGGCAACGGAUAUCUCGGCUCACGCAUCGAUGAAGAACGUAGCAAAAUGCGAUACUUGGUGUGAUUUGCAGAAUCCCGUGAACCAU